GACGAACGCUGGCGGCGUGCUUAACACAUGCCAGUCGAACGGAAAGGCCCUGCUUUUGUGGGGUGCUCGAGUGGCGAACGGGUGAGUAACACGUGAGUAACCUGCCCUUGACUUUGGGAUAACUUCAGGAAACUGGGGCUAAUACCGGAUAGGAGCUCCUGCUGCAUGGUGGGGGUUGGAAAGUUUCGGCGGUUGGGGAUGGACUCGCGGCUUAUCAGCUUGUUGGUGGGGUAGUGGCUUACCAAGGCUUUGACGGGUAGCCGGCCUGAGAGGGUGACCGGCCACAUGGGAAUGGAGAGAGGGCCCAGCCGCAUCCGGGAGGCAGGAGGGGGGAAUAUGGAACAGGGGGGGGAGGCUGGAGGCAGCCACGCCGGGGGGGGGAGGGCGGCCUUGGGUUUGAAACCCGCUUCCCCCUGGGACGAAGGGGGGGGAAGGGUAAGGGGUAAAGAAGCCCCGGCAAACUAGGGC
rnacentral:rRNA from 1 species